CUUAGGCCAACCAGAACACAGGCUGUAAAAGGUAGUAAAGUGAAAUCUCCAGUGACAGUAAUCACACAUAAAUCAGCAUCUCCAAAACAGUUGGAUGAAUGGUCGAAAACUUUGAAACAUCCCCGAGAAGUGGGUGUGAAAACGUGGGACCAUUUGAAGCGUUAUAAGAAACUCUACUAUCUACAUCCUUAUGAUGGGUUACAGUUAUUAGCCUUAUUUUUUAACAACCGUGAACAUGGCGUACUUGAAGAAAAGGUUUAUAGAGCUGUGGGUGGUGAAGAGCAAGAUGUGGCCGAUGGAUGGAGAGCCAUACAGUGAGGGAAAAAAGUAUUUGAUCCCCUGCUGAUUUUGUACGUUUGCCCACUGACAAAGAAAUGAUCAGUCUAUAAUUUUAAUGGUAGGUUUAUUUGAACAGUGAGAGACAGAAUAACAACAACAAAAAUCCAGAAAAACACAUGUCAAAAAAGUUAUACAUUGAUUUGCAUUUUAAUGUAUAACAUUUUUUACCUUUAUUACAGACGAGAAUAAAGGUAAUGAUUUGGCUGCCAAGGCAGCUGCCAAGGGAACACCUCUGUCACCUAAACUGAUUAGGAGAUACACCUUGGAUACAUUAUAACACAGAGAUAUGCAAAUCAGUGCACCAAAAGAUGAAGUGUCAGAAUGGAUGGCUGCAAGAUGCAAACUCAAUCAAGAAGGUGUGUGGAAAUACAAUCUGAGAUGUGUAGCGCCAAAUGCACUCUUGCCCUACUUGGUGACACAGAUCCAGUUUUUGGGACACAUUGGUGUGGACAAGAUAGGUCAGGUCCUACAGGCACUAGUUUUGUCGCUCCUGGACAAGUGUUCAGUCGUGUUGUCAGGUGCCACAAAGAGGAACCUUGGAAUAUUACAAUUGGCUCAUAACAGAGCAGCACGACUAGCCCUUAAAUGUACAUGGAGAGCUCACAUUAAUAAUAUUGACGGUGCACUGCUGGGGGAGGUUUAUGACCCCCAUAAAUACCUUUCCCCCUUUUUCUCUCCACUCUACAGAAUGGAUUCUUGGAAAGCCCUUUGUUAACAUAGAGAGAGUAAUGUAACAUCAAAAAGUUGGGGGAAAAAAACUAUCUUUCUGUAAUCCAACCAGUUGAAAGUGUCCGUUGGUACUUAAAGAAUAUGAUGUCAGAUCAGUUGUUGUCUAGGACAUUAUACCUGAUGAUAGGACGACAUAAAUUGUAUCUUGGAAAGUCUACACAUUCUAGUUAUCAGAUUCACAUGGAAUUCUUGUGCAACUUACAUUUUUAAAUAUGAAACUAUUUGUGAAAAUUUGAAAUGUAAUUUUAGCUUCUAAAUGAGAGAAUUGUUUUCAUAAAGUAAACUAUGGUCACUCAGUGGCCAUGCCCAAGUGAACAGACAUUGGUUGAGAAAUAUGAAACACGCCUCUCCACCGCUACAAAAGCCCGUUGACGAAAGUUAACCUUGGGUUCCCGAUGACCUGAGGACUGAUGUCCAGACGUUUAAAAGGGCUAAUAUCAACUACAACCUAACAAAAUUAACUUUAGUUCCCGACGACGUAGGACUGGUGUCCAUAUGUUCAAAAGGGCUAAUAUCAACUACAACCUAACAAAAUUAACUUUAGUUCCCGACGACGUAGGACUGGUGUCCAUAUGUUCAAAAGGGCUCAUUUCAACGUGGAGUAUUUUAUGCAGAUUGUUGACAGAAAAAAAAGACAAAUCAAAAAAUUUGAAUCCUACUUUGUAACAAUAAAAAACAUGGCCUAAUGCAACACUGAGGCAUUUGUCAACUGAAGCAACUCUGAAAUCAACUAAAACACAAUAUUGGCUUCUGAAUAAAUGACUUAUUCAAAUUGUGAUGCACAAAAUAAAUGUGUUCUGUCAAGAUCAAUUUCACACACUGCUACUAUAUCACACUAGUGUCUUCACUGUCAAAUCAAUGUCCACUAAAUAUGUGCAUUCGAUAGACACAUUUCAGGUUUUAGUUACAAUAUAUAAAACAAUAUAUGAAAGAAUAGUCUGGUGUGAUUAACAACUACAGACAAUGCUGUUAACACUUAGCUUGGUAGCAGGAUAAUGCAUGCACUCCAUUUCUCCUGCAGAGGGGGAACAGAAUAGUGUUGAACCAGAUUGUUCUCUCUUCCAGGCAAAGCAUUAACAUUCAGUUAGCUGUGUGGCGUGAGAGACAGAGCAAACAUGAUACCGACAGGGAAGAGAGCCCAUAACACUCCGGAUAAUACAUCUGUCGCUACGGAAACAGUCCUGUCCUGGUGCUGGAGUCGUGCUCUGCUGGGACUGCUGGAUCCAUAGGGGACAAUAGGAAUACCAACACUGUUAUUUUUUUUUUCAUUUAACUAGGCAAGUCAGUUAAGAACAAAUUCUUAUUUACAAUGACAGCCUACCCCAGCCAAACCCGGACGACACUGGGCCAAUUGUGCGCCGCCCUAUGGGACUCCCAAUCAGGGCCGGAUGUGAUGCAGCCUGCCAACCAUGGGAAUGCCUGUAAUGUUCUUGUGUUGGGCAUCCCGGUGGUUGGUGGAGCUGUACACAUUUUAUAAAGUGCAUUUUACUAUACAUUUCAUACACUAUGAUAGUUUGGACAGGAAUCCCUCUUCCAUUAGGUAGACAAAUAAUAUACUCAAACAUACCUUCUGGCACAACAGAGGCCUCUUGUAUCAAGGGUUCAUCUGGAAAGAGAAACCAGAAGCAACCUUUUAGUGCUCUACCAUGGUUUGUGAUUUAUCACUCACUGACAAUACAAUAUCCUGAAUUCCUAUCUGGGAAGGAGAACAAUAGAGAAACUAAAACAAUUAAAAAACUAAGUUCAUGUCACGUUCGUUUGAAUGGACGGACCAAGGCCCAGCGUGUGUUGAGUUCCACAUCUUUUAUUUAAGUGAAACUUUCAAACAAAAACAAUACACAAGCAAGGAAACGUGUAGUAACAUAGUGCUACCUGCACAUACAAACAAUAUCCCACAAAGCAGGUGGGAACAGGGACACCUUAAGUAUGAUCCCCAAUUAGAGACGGCGAACAUCAGGUGACUCUAAUUGGGAACCAUACCGAGAGCACCAACAUAGAAAUGAAAAGACUAGAACACCCCCUAGUCACACCCUGACCUAGAAUACCAUAGAGAACCAAGGUGCUCACGCUGUCUGAGUCUUCUGGCUUGAAACAGCUUGAGAAGCAGCAGUCCAAUGGCAAGAGAGCCUACUACCACAAAUACAGCAGCCACAUUCGUGUAACUGUUCUUUGGAAUUUCCUUUUGAUUCGCAGCAUUUUCUGUAACACACAAAAUCAUUUUAAAUGAAAAUCGUGUCACAUUCAGGUAUGCGAUCAGGGAUGCAACCAAUUAAGUAAUGUUUGUAGGGUAUUUGGUUUAAAAGGUAGCUAAGUCAAUUUAUAUUGGAUACUAAUAGAGGAUAAUGUCAGAAAAGCAAGAAUUCUUGAUGGAUCCUCUGCACAGUGGAAAUCAUGACGCAAAAAGGAGAAUACUAUAUUGUUACACUGUGAGGAGAUAUGCCAUGCACUGUGUGACUGCCCCACUGGUGCCACAGCUGUCUCUAUACAUUAACUCCAAUGAGUAGACACAAACACUGAGAAAAUCCUUGCCAUAGACAUACAGUAAAUGCUUGCAAGAUUUUCCCCUAGUAGGCCAGUCUAACUGUAAUCAUCCAUUCACAAGGAAUGACCCCUCAGCCCCCUUGAGCUGUCCAUGUGUUGUAUGUAAGAGGAUUACUGAGCUCACCUGUGAACUUCAGCAUGAAGUUACAAUUUGUGUUUCCACUGUCAGUGUUCACCACACACUCAUACCCCUCUUCUUCAGGCUGGGUUUCUUUAACCAACAGGGACACAACUUUGUCUUUCUCAUUGGCAGGUGGCAUGGAAAGCUGAUAUUUUGGGUUCAGCGGCAUCCCGGGUUCAGAGGGUUGAUUAUUGUAUUUAUAUAUGAACACAGGUUCACCUUUGUGAUCCCCAUUCUGGUCCAGCCUCCACAACACGACCUGCUUUAUGUUUACAUUACCAGGGGAUUCCUCACUGAACUUCACAGAGCAGUCUAGGACUGCAUCCUUCCCAGAUUCCACCUGGAUGACCUGCUUCAACUCUGAGCGCUGGUUUAGACCUGUUUAAGCAACAGAUAGAAAAACUAAAUGAAACAGGACUGUAGUACAGAAAAUGUUACAACUGACAGGUGUAGUUUGGAUAAAACAAAACUCCUAGACCAUUCGGUGUGAGCAUUUUGGAAGUUGUGGUGUUGGCAAAAGUAUUACAAAUUGUGCCUGCAGAAUGCCUUACUAUUGGAUGUCUCCAUCCCAGUGAUGAGGAGAAACAUGAGAGUGGACAAGCUGAAGACCAAUGCCAUGUUAGGGCCUUUCUCCUAAGUAGAAAAACAGGGGUUCUGAGAAACAGUGGUCUCUCCACAGGAAAGGGUUCACAACAAUCAGUGGUUGUGCCAAAUUAAUCAGAGAGCAA
rnacentral:lncRNA from 1 species